AGGUAAAGGAGCUGCUGACUAUGUACUGACACUUCCAGGGCAACGAGCAAAUAUAAACAUUUUAAGGACAGUCUCACUGUGUAGCCCUGGGUGGCUUUGAUCUCAGAUCCUCCUAUGUCCCAAGUACAGGAGACUAAAGAUCAAGGGCACCAAGAACUCAUGGAGUCGCAGGUGGCCACAUCGAUCCUAAGGAGCAAGAACAAAACUGGAGGAGUCACUGACCUCAAGCCGUCCAUGCUACAGGAGCUACAGGGACAGAGGCAGCCUGGUAAUGAAAAGGAGAGAUGGGACAGAACAGAGGAGUGGACUACAUCGACAAAGCUGUGGGCGUCUAAUCUCUGACGAGGGUGGCCGAAAGCAUGCAGUAGAAGGAUAGUCCAGUCAACAAAGUGCUGCAAAACUGGGUGUCACCUGCGGCAGAACACAACUAGAUCCGUUAUCUUUCAUGCCAUGUAAAAACCAAUUAGAAAUGGAAUAAAUACCUUAAUUUAAAACCUCAAA